rnacentral:lncRNA from 1 species
AGUUUUAGUUUGUGCUAGUGAAACUGAUUGAGAUCUUUGUGGUGGGUUAUAGGUGAGUGAUAAGAUGGAUCCGAAUGAGCUUGUGAAGCUGAUUGAGAUCUUGAAUGCUGAUAAUAAACCUGGUAGGAUCACAAUUAUCACCAGAAUGGGAGCAGAGAAUAUGAGAGUGAAGCUUCCUAAUUUGAUUAGAGCUGUGCGACGUGCUGGACAGAUUGUGACUUGGGUCAGUGAUCCAAUGCAUGGAAACACCAUUAAGGCUCCUUGUGGCCUCAAGACUCGUCCGUUUGACUCUAUAAUGGUAAGGUUUACAUAAAACUUUCUCUAAUUGGUUUUGUCAAAAAAAAAAAAGCUUUCUCUAAUUGGUUAGUAUAUGUUUGUUGUAGUAGGUGAGAUAGCGAAAGGAGACAUUAAUCAACUUUAGUUGGGCUAAAGUUGACGACAACUGCUUUUUUCUAUAGUUUGGUGGUCUUUAAAAUAUAGUGAAAAAAUUAUCAAAAGCACGUGUCCUGAAUUUAUCUGCUACGUCUAUUUUUAGUAGACUUUGAAGUUUAUUUUUGAUAAGUUAUAACAAAAUAACCUAAUAAUUUUUUUUUCUGUUAACUGAAAAAUAUUUAGGCUGAAGUGAAAGCAUUCUUCGACGUGCAUGAACAAGAAGGGAGCCACCCAGGAGGUGUUCACUUAGAGAUGACCGGUCAGAACGUGACCGAGUGCAUCGGCGGUUCACGCACAGUCACGUUCGAUGACUUGAGCUCGCGAUACCACACGCACUGUGACCCGCGCCUCAAUGCUUCUCAGUCUCUCGAGCUCUCCUUCAUCAUUGCCGAACGCCUUAGAAAGAGACGCAUCAAGUCCCAACAGGCUUUUUCCGUCUAAUUUAAACAAACAUGUGGUGUAAUAUCUCUAUAUAAAAUAAGUGUGUGAAUUCAAUAUACUGUCCCGUUUAUCUUUGAUCCAAAUAUUGGGUCAAUAGAACGCGUAAGGUUUUGUUUUGAUAUUGUUGUUAAUGAGUAUUAUUUCCAUUUUACAAUAUAAUCAUGGAACGUUUUUAUUCAUGUUGUGAACAGUUUUGUGGUAGAACAAAAACAUAGGUUCUGACUGUAAUCAAUUAAACUGAAAGGUCCAGUCUGAUAUUGACCAAUAAGUAUUCUGAACUUAAAACCUAGCAAUACGUUUUUAAACAAUACAUCCAAGGUCUAAUUAAGUCUGAUAUUGUGCAACUAGUAUUCUGAAAAAAAGAAAAAACUACUGUAGUAUUCUGAACUUAAAACCUGGCAAUACUUUUAUAUAUAAACAAAACAAAAACAUACAUACAAAGGUCAAGUCUGAUAUUUGUAAAACUUAAAACCCAGCGAUACGUUUAUAAACAAAACAAAAGUAUAAAUACAGUUCAAGUCUGAUAUUGUGCAACUAGUAUUCUAAACUUAAAACCUAGAAAUACGUUUAUUAACAAAACAAAAAUAUACAUAUACAAAGGUCAAGGUCAAGUCUGAUAUUGUGCAAUUAGUACUUCAAACCUAGCAAUACGUUAUAAGCAAAAACAAAAGUAUUCAUACGUGGUCAAGUCUGAUAUUGUGCAAUUAGUAGUAUUCUAAACUUAGAACCUAGCAAUACGUUUAUAAACAAAACAAAACAAAAUAUCUAAAGAAAACGAAGACGCUUCUUCACCUAUGUCUAUCGUCUACUUGAUCAAACCAGAAAUUUCCAUCUCAAUUCCUAAAACACAAUUCUAUUUUUUUCUUUUUUCUUAAACUUAACGAAAAGAUAAGUUAUAUACACACACAUUUUAAUAACUUAGAGUGAAUAGUGAAUACCAUCAGUGUGAUAUCCAUAGCUUAAAAUCGUGGAAAUUAACAGUGAAGCAAAUCAACGCGAAGAAUUAUCUAAAUGGUUCAUCAAAUACCUAAACCGUCAAGGUGAUUGGUUAGAGAAAACAAGAGGCAAUCUGAUGGUUGCGGCGACGGUCAUAGCCGGAAUGAGUUUUCAAGUUAUGGUUAAUCCUCCAAGUGGCGUUUGGCAAAGUGACAUAUGUUCCCCUGGACAUCAAACUGGUGUUUGUAAAGCGAAAGUCUGGGGGGCAAUAGUUCAAACUUCAAAGCAUGGGUUUUAUCAUGGAAUGGUUACUAGUACUACAGUAGGCAGGUACCGUGAACUAGCUCACCGUGUUGAUGAAGCGCUUGGUUUCAUGCACGCGGCUGGACUCACGCUUGAUCAUCCCAUCAUGCAAACAACCGAGUUCUGGACUUCUCAUGUGUGCUUGCUCUUGCCUUAUGAACAAUCACUAACAAGGCUGGACUCAACUUCUGGUCUCUACUAUGAUUGUUCUGCUCAUAUGAUUUGGGUCGGUGAGCGAACAAGACAGCUUGAUGGAGCACACGUCGAGUUUUUAAGAGGUGUUGCUAAUCCUCUUGGAAUCAAGGUUUUGUGUUUUUUUUUCUCCAACUCUAAAUACAUUAUCAAGUUUUAGUUUGUGCUAGUGAAACUGAUUGAGAUCUUUGUGGUGGGUUAUAGGUGAGUGAUAAGAUGGAUCCGAAUGAGCUUGUGAAGCUGAUUGAGAUCUUGAAUGCUGAUAAUAAACCUGGUAGGAUCACAAUUAUCACCAGAAUGGGAGCAGAGAAUAUGAGAGUGAAGCUUCCUAAUUUGAUUAGAGCUGUGCGACGUGCUGGACAGAUUGUGACUUGGGUCAGUGAUCCAAUGCAUGGA